UAGACGUAUACUCGGUGUGUAUUGUGUACAAAAUACGAACUUGUGGACUAAUUUAGCUAGAUAAAAAUUUGUGUUGUGUGUAAAGCUUCGUUUUUAUGUUUAAUUACGUAAAACAUUUAAGAUGGCUUUUAUGUAUGCAUUAGUUUUAUUUUUAAAUGAUUCGUCCAAUAAAGAAAUUGAUAUAUUGAAUAUCGUGGUACCGGAUGUAAAUAGCCUGAAUCAUUGUUAAAAAGUUCUAAGUAUUUCUAAUUAUUACAAACGAUAGUUAAACAUUGUGAAGGGUCUGACCGACAUGGCCAACGUUUUAUGUUCAAAUAAGUGGCACAGCAGAACCUAAGAAAUAAAAGCCAUAAAAAUGUAACCAAAAAAUUGUGAAGAAACAAGCCUAAAAACAUAGUCUCGAAUGGUCAUCUACAUCAAUAGUGUCUUCGAUAUCUUCAUCACCACCGUCAUUGUUAUGUAAACCUAUGAAAAUAAAUAAUGAAACUAAAAAAAAACGAAUUAAUGACAGUACUAACUACAUAGUUGGCUCAAAAAAAGGAAAAAAAUUAGUUCAUAAUCUACACCAUACUACCUUGAUCAUCUUCAUCAUCACCAUCAACUAAACGUAGAAAAAUAAGAAAAAUCAACUCGAAUUUGAAGGACAUAAAUAUGCGUAUGGAAAUAGCACAUGAAGACAAUACAUUAGCAACAAUUGCUGAUAAUCCCUUUUCAUCAUCAUCAUCAUAAAUCUGAAACAGAAGCUGAAAUGAAUAUAUUAGCAGCUAGAUCAUCAUCAACAAAAAAUACUGUAUCCAGUGAUUCUUUGCUGGAAUGUAUCAAACAUAAUUAUAACAGUCUAUCAAAACAAUUAGCAAAUUUAAAAGGCCAUAUCUGCUGACGUUCCCAAAUCCUAUCUGAAAUAAAAAAAUAACAGUACUCAGCUGUUAGAUUUUAGUUUAUUAACAGAUCCUGAAGGAAAUCCAGUGGUCCAAAAAUUAGAAUUUCCGCUAUCAACAAUGGAAGAUAUUAUUUUGAUAAAUUCAAUGAAAAAUUAAAAGGCCAAAAAUAUAAAAAUAAAAUGAAUAAACGUAUAUACUUUUCUCUUGAUGGAAAAAAUACUUUUACCCGUAAUAUGGGAAAUAUUACUCGUGUUUAUAUAUCAAGAGAUGUCAUAUGUAGCAGUUAAUGCAACUUCAAAAAAAAGUUUUCAAAGAUACGACUUUUUCACUUCUAUAAAAAGUAUGUUAAUCAUUAUAUAGUGCAGAAUUACUAUCAUUGAUACCUAAUUAAUUAUUUCUUAA